rnacentral:tRNA from 2 species
CCUUCGAUAGCUCAGUUGGUAGAGCGGGGGACUGUAGAUUUAUAAUUGUGAUCCCUAGGUCGCUGGUUCGAAUCCGGCUCAAAGGA